rnacentral:rRNA from 1 species
AGACCCGAAACCCGGUGAUCUAGCCAUGGGCAGGUUGAAGGUUGGGUAACACUAACUGGAGGACCGAACCGACUAAUGUUGAAAAAUUAGCGGAUGACCUGUGGCUGGGGGUGAAAGGCCAAUCAAACCGGGAGAUAGCUGGUUCUCCCCGAAAGCUAUUUAGGUAGCGCCUCGUGAAUUCAUCUCCGGGGGUAGAGCACUGUUUCGGCUAGGGGGCCAUCCCGGCUUACCAACCCGAUGCAAACUGCGAAUACCGGAGAAUGUUAUCACGGGAGACACACGGCGGGUGCUAACGUCCGUCGUGAAGAGGGAAACAACCCAGACCGCCAGCUAAGGUCCCAAAGUCAUGGUUAAGUGGGAAACGAUGUGGGAAGGCCCAGACAGCCAGGAUGUUGGCUUAGAAGCAGCCAUCAUUUAAAGAAAGCGUAAUAGCUCACUGGUCGAGUCGGCCUGCGCGGAAGAUGUAACGGGGCUAAACCAUGCACCGAAGCUGCGGCAGCGACACUCAGGUGUUGUUGGGUAGGGGAGCGUUCUGUAAGCCUGCGAAGGUGGCCUGUGAGGGUUGCUGGAGGUAUCAGAAGUGCGAAUGCUGACAUAAGUAACGAUAAAGCGGGUGAAAAGCCCGCUCGCCGGAAGACCAAGGGUUCCUGUCCAACGUUAAUCGGGGCAGGGUGAGUCGACCCCUAA